GUGCUUGCUUUGGCAGCACAUAUAUUAAAAUUGGAAUGAUAGAAGAUUAGCAUGGCCCCUAUGCAAGGAUGACACACAAAUUUGUGAAGCCUUCCAUAUUGUU